rnacentral:lncRNA from 1 species
AUUACAGGUGUGCAUGCCACUGUGCCCAGCCCCAGCCCUUUUAAAAAUUUUUUUAUUUUGAGAAAGUCUCAUUAAUUUGCUGAGGCUGGCCUCAAACUUGUAAUCCUUCUGCCUCAGCAUUCAAGGUCUCUGGGAUUACAGUGUUUCAUCACACCUGAUUAGAAUUAAUUCUUUUUAUUCAUAAACAAUGUUUACUACUUACAAGUCAUGCACAACUGCUGCACAUAAUGAGCACUGCAGAAAUAUUUUUAUUUUUUAUUAUUUUUGUUUUGUGGUACUAGGGAUUCAACCUAGGGGUGCUGUACACUGAGCCACAUCUGUGGCCCUUUUUAUUUUAUUUUGAGGUGGAAUCUUGUUAAGUUGCCCAGUGUGGCUUGGAACUUGCCAUCCUCCAGCCUCAAGUUCCAGAGUUACUAGGGUUAAAGUAGUGAUUCUCCAAGCUCUACUAGUGAGGAAACAGGCUGAGCAAUAUGAAAAUUUAGCCUGCCAAGAUCACCCAGCCUUAGAUGGGUGGAGCUAGGACAGUGGCCCUUAUUUAUUCAACUCCAGUGUCUGGGUUUUCCUCACUACUCUGUAGAAUAUUGCAGGAUGACCAAAGAUGCAUUCCAAAGGGACAUGAAGCCAGAACAGGACUGUUUAGGAACAUACAAGAGGCAUUAUAGGGAAGACGAGUACCCUGAGAAAAAGAAAACCAGAAGUAGCCAGGCAUGAUGACAUGCCUGUAAUCCCGGCAACUUUAUAGACGGGAACAUCACAACUUUAAAGCCAGCCUCAGCAAUGUAGGGAGGCCCUAAGCAACUUUGUGAGACCCUGUCUCAAACAUAAAUGAUAAAAAUAAUAAUAAAAAGGGCUACUAAUGUGGCUCAGUGGUAAAGGGCCCCUGGGUUCAAUCCCCAGUAUCAAAAUUUAAAAAUGAGAAGGAACAUGUAGCCAUAAGGGAACUCAAAGUGGGCCUGGGAAUAUAAGAAGUUGCCCUUGUGAGGCCAGUGAUGAAUGCAGCAAGUGAGACAUUUAGAACUGGUUCUCGGGUUUUAUACAGGCAGCAACAGCAGCACCUAGGAGUCUGUUAGACUCUGCACUCAAAGGUAGAUCUCAGUGACUUGGGAGCCUAAGGCAGGAGGAUUGAAAGUUCAAGGCCAGCCUCAACUCAAUGAGGCCUUCAGCAACUUAUUGAGAAUCUGUCUCAAACUAAAUAAAAAGUACCAGGGAUUUAGCUCAGUGGUAAACCUCCCCUGAGUUCAAUCCUCAGUACAAAAAUAAAAAGGGGAUGGGGUGUUGCUGAGUGAUAGAGCACCCCUGGAUUCAAUUCCUAACAUCAAAAAACAAAAAGGGCUAGAGAUACAGCUUUGUGAUAGAGCACCCCUG